GAUGAACGCUGGCGGCGUGCCUAAUACAUGCAAGUCGAGCGAACGGACGAGAAGCUUGCUUCUCUGAUGUUAGCGGCGGACGGGUGAGUAACACGUGGAUAACCUACCUAUAAGACCGGGAUAACUUCGGGAAACCGGAGCUAAUACCGGAUAAUAUUUUGAACCGCAUGGUUCAAAAGUGAAAGACGGUCUUGCUGUCACUUAUAGAUGGAUCCGCGCUGCAUUAGCUAGUUGGUAAGGUAACGGCUUACCAAGGCAACGAUGCAUAGCCGACCUGAGAGGGUGAUCGGCCACACUGGAACUGAGACACGGUCCAGACUCCUACGGGAGGCAGCAGUAGGGAAUCUUCCGCAAUGGGCGAAAGCCUGACGGAGCAACGCCGCGUGAGUGAUGAAGGUCUUCGGAUCGUAAAACUCUGUUAUUAGGGAAGAACAUAUGUGUAAGUAACUGUGCACAUCUUGACGGUACCUAAUCAGAAAGCCCCGGCUAACUACGUG
rnacentral:rRNA from 1 species